rnacentral:rRNA from 1 species
AGUGAACGCUGGCGGUAGGCCUAACACACGCAUGGCGAACGGCAGCACAGUAAGAGCUUGCUCUUACGGGUGGCGAGUGGCGGACGGGUGGGGAAUACAUCGGAAUCUACUUUUGCGUGGGGGAUAACGUAGGGAAACUUACGCUAAUACCGCAUACGACCUACGGGUGAAAACAGGGGAUCUUCGGAUCUUGCGCGAUUGAAUGAGCCUAUGUCGGAUUAGCGAGUUGGCGGGGUAAAGGCCCACCAAGGCGACGAUCCGUAGCUGGUCUGAGAGGAUGAUCAGCCACACUGGAACUGAGACACGGUCCAGACUCCUACGGGAGGCAGCAGUGGGGAAUAUUGGACAAUGGGCGCAAGCCUGAUCCAGCCAUACCGCGUGGGUGAAGAAGGCCUUCGGGUUGUAAAGCCCUUUUGUUGGGAAAGAAAAGCAGCAGGUUAAUACCCCGCUGUUCUGGCGGUACCCAAAGAAUAAGCACCGGCUAACUUCGUG